AUAUCAAUAAGCGGAGGAAAAGAAACUAACAAGGAUUCCCCUAGUAACUGCGAGUGAAGCGGGAAAAGCUCAAAUUUAAAAUCUGGCAGUCUCUGGCUGUCCGAGUUGUAAUCUAGAGAAGUAAUGCCCGUGCUGGACCGUGUAUAAGUCUCCUGGGAUGGGGCGUCAUAGAGGGUGAGAAUCCCGUCUUUGACACGGACUACCAGUGCAUUGUGGUAUGCUCUCAAAGAGUCGAGUUGUUUGGGAAUGCAGCUCAAAAUGGGUGGUAAAUUCCAUCUAAAGCUAAAUAUUGGCGAGAGACCGAUAGCGAACAAGUACCGUGAGGGAAAGAUGAAAAGAACUUUGGAAAGAGAGUUAAACAGUACGUGAAAUUGCUGAAAGGGAAACGCUUGAAGUCAGUCGCGUUGUCCGGGAAUCAGCCUUGCUUCUGCAUGGUGUACUUUCUGGUUGACGGGUCAGCAUCAAUUUUGACCGCUGGAAAAAGGCCUGGGGAAUGUGGCAGCUUCGGCUGUGUUAUAGCCCCUAGUCGCAUACAGUGGUUGGGAUUGAGGAACUCAGCACGCCGCAAGGCCGGGUUUCGACCACGUUCGUGCUUAGGAUGCUGGCAUAAUGGCUUUAAGCGA
rnacentral:rRNA from 1 species